CCUGGAGACAGGUGCUGCAUGGCUGUCGUCAGCUCGUGUCGUGAGAUGUUGGGUUAAGUCCCGCAACGAGCGCAACCCUUGUCUUUAGUUGCCAUCAUUCAGUUGGGCACUCUAAAGAGACUGCCGGUGUCAAACCGGAGGAAGGUGGGGAUGACGUCAAGUCCUCAUGGCCUUUAUGACCAGGGCUACACACGUACUACAAUGGCCGGUACAAAGGGCAGCCACUUAGCGAUAAGGAGCCAAUCCCGUAAAGCCGGUCUCAGUCCGGAUUGGAGUCUGCAACUCGACUCCAUGAAGUUGGAAUCGCUAGUAAUCGCAGAUCAGCACGCUGCGGUGAAUACGUUCCCGGGCCUU
rnacentral:rRNA from 1 species